rnacentral:rRNA from 1 species
UUUCCGUAGGUGAACCUGCAGAUGGAUCAUCGU